rnacentral:rRNA from 1 species
AAGUCGUAACAAGGUCUCCGUUGGUGAACCAGCGGAGGGAUCAUUACUGAGUACUACACUCUCUACCCUUUGUGAACUAUUAUAUACUGUUGCUUUCGGCGGCGCCGCAAGGGUGCCCGCCGGUCUCAUCAGAAUCUCUGUUUUCGAACCCGACGAUACUUCUGAUGUUCUUAGCGAACUGUCAAAACUUUUAACAACGGAUCUCUUGGCUCCAGCAUCGAUGAAGAACGCAGCGAAACGCGAUAUGUAAUGUGAAAUUGCAGAAUUCAGUGAAUCAUCGAAUCUUUGAACGCACAUGGCGCCUUCCAGUAUCCUGGGAGGCAUGCUGUCCGAGCGUCGUUUCACCCUCGAGCCCCUGUGGCCCGGCGUUGGGGAUCUGCACGGCAGGCCCCUAAAACCAGUGGGCGGACCCGAAGGGCCCUCUCCUUUGCGCAGUAGCAUUCGCCUCGCAUCGGGAGUCCUCGGCGUCCUGCCUCUAAACACCCCACAAGCCGCUUCGCGGGCACCAAGGUUGACCUCGGAUCAGGUAGGAAUAACCCGCUGAACUUAAGCA